rnacentral:rRNA from 1 species
GAUGAACGCUGGCGGCGUGCCUAAUACAUGCAAGUCGAGCGAACAGACGAGGAGCUUGCUCCUCUGACGUUAGCGGCGGACGGGUGAGUAACACGUGGAUAACCUACCUAUAAGACUGGGAUAACUGCGGGAAACCGGAGCUAAUACCGGAUAAUAUAUUGAACCGCAUGGUUCAAUAGUGAAAGACGGUUUUGCUGUCACUCAUAGAUGGAUCCGCGCCGCAUUAGCUAGUUGGUAAGGUAACGGCGUACCAAGGCAACGAUGCGUAGCCGACCUGAGAGGGUGAUCGGCCCCACUGGAGCUGCGACACGGUCCAGACUCCUACGGGAGGCAGCAGUAGGGAAUCUUCCGCAAUGGGCGAAAGCCUGACGGAGCAACGCCGCGUGAGUGAUGAAGGUCUUCGGAUCGUAAAACUCUGUUAUUAGGGAAGAACAAAUGUGUAAGUAACUAUGCACGUCUUGACGGUACCUAAUCAGAAAGCCACGGCUAACUACGUG